rnacentral:rRNA from 1 species
AGCGAACGCUGGCGGCAGGCCUAACACAUGCGAGUCGAACGGAUCCUUCGGGAUUAGUGGCGGACGGGUGAGUAACACGUGGGAACGUGCCCUUUGGUUCGGAACAACCCAGGGAAACUUGAGCUAAUACCGGAUGUGCCCUUCGGGGGAAAGAUUUAUCGCCAUUGGAGCGGCCCGCGUCUGAUUAGCUAGUUGGUGAGGUAACGGCCCACCAAGGCGACGAUCAGUAGCUGGUCUGAGAGGAUGAUCAGCCACACUGGGACUGAGACACGGCCCAGACUCCUACGGGAGGCAGCAGUGGGGAAUCUUGCGCAAUGGGCGAAAGCCUGACGCAGCCAUGCCGCGUGAAUGAUGAAGGUCUUAGGAUUGUAAAAUUCUUUCAGCGGGGACGAUAAUGACGGUACCCGCAGAAGAAGCUCCGGCUAACUUCGUG